GGAUUGUGGCUCAGUGGCAAAGCCCUUGCCUUAUAAAUAUGAGACCCUGGGUUCGAUCCUCAGCACCA
rnacentral:tRNA from 1 species